rnacentral:lncRNA from 1 species
CCACUUACUUUAUUCGGGUCCUCAUUUUCGGUCCAUAUUAAACCCUAAUCAUUCUUCUCUCAUACUCUUCGAACAUCGUUCUUCUUCAGCAGCUCUAGGGUUUCUUCAUCCUUCAAUCCAGCGAUUAGGGUUUUCAUCAUUCUUUUCCAAUCAAACAAUCCAAGAUCCAAGUAAUCAACGCUCUGCUCUUUACGGAUCUUCAUAGAUCUUCAUAUCAACGCUCGAAUUCAAGGGUUUCUUGCUAUUCGAUCUAUUUACUACUCUUACACAUCAAUGUCGUCUCCAUCAAUUCAAAAUAAUUGA